rnacentral:lncRNA from 1 species
CACAUGCAACCCCCAGAUCCUCCUUGAAAGGAGCCAAGGGAAGAUGAAGAAUUUUGCUUCUUUCAACCAUAAAUAUUAGUUUCUUUACCCCAUCACGAGAUUAUAUUUGAGAAUAAUUUUUGCGUGCAUCAUAUCUAUCUUAAUCCUUAAGACACCUCAUUGAAGUUCAGUUUCUCCCCCAUUCCUCUUCCUACCAAAGUUGUAGAUACUGAAUCUCAAAUCAGAGAGGGACAAGAAUUGCCUGGAGUCACACAGCAUCUGGCAGUUCCACGAUCCCCCAGUGUUUCUACGUGCGUUGCUUGCUUGUUUUUUCCCAUCUGUAUCCUAUCUGGCUGAAGCCCCAGCUGCUGCUGCAGUCUUCCCCCUCUGUGGGAGUCACAAGCCAACAGCCAUCAGUCAAGUAAGGAAGUGUUCUGUACACGUCUGGCUGGCAUAGAGCUCAGGGGCAGCUGUCCCUCCAGAUGCUGACAAGGGUGGGGGAGGAGCAAAUACCUUGCAUGUCAGUGUCCCAUCGAGUCACUGCCAGCUCAGAAGGGCUUGAGGGAUCUGUGCUACUGGCCCCCAACACCUGCCUGUGUCUCUUCCUGUACUCUAUCCCCAGGAGACGGCCAUGUCAUCCCCUGCUGCACAGUUGAGGG